CUACCGGGCGACCGGAUGCGGAUCUCGAAAGCCUGUCCCAGUUCGGACUGGAGUCUGCAACCCGACUACAUGAAGCCGGAAUCGCUAGUAAUCGCGGAUCAGAAUGCCGCGGUGAAUACGUUCCCGGGUCUUGUACACACCGCCCGUCACACCAUGGGAGUUGGAAAUGCCCGAAGUCAGUGGCCCAACCGGAAGGGGGGAGCUGCCGAAGGCAGGUUCGAUGACUGGGGUGAAGUCGUAACAAGGUACC
rnacentral:rRNA from 1 species